AAAAAUAGUAAUUAAGUAACAGUUAUCACAAUGUUUCAAGAAAAAAAUUCUUUUGGCCUCAUUUGUUUGACAGUGAGCUAUAUAUUUGGAACAUUUACGUUUCUUUUGACUUAUGAUAAGAAAAAGAACUAGGGAUAUUCAAUCGCAAUCAGUGUAUAAAAAUGAUUAUUCGCGGAUUGGCACUGUUUAUUUUUGCUUUCUUGGCCACAGAAACAGCUUCUUACGAAUGUUACACAUGUGAAA